UACAGAGGUCUCAAGCGUUGUCCGGAAUUAUUGGGCGUAAAGAGCUCGUAGGCGGUUUGUCGCGUCGGGAGUGAAAACACCGGGCUUAACUCGGUGCUUGCUUUCGAUACGGGCAGACUAGAGGCAUGCAGGGGAGAACGGAAUUCCUGGUGUAGCGGUGAAAUGCGCAGAUAUCAGGAGGAACACCGGUGGCGAAGGCGGUUCUCUGGGCAUGUCCGGACGCUGAGGAGCGAAAGUGUGGGGAGCGAACAGG
rnacentral:rRNA from 1 species